CCCAAAUCCUACGGGAGGCAGCAGUGGGGGAUAUUGCACAAUGGAGGAAACUCUGAUGCAGCGACGCCGCGUGAGUGAAGAAGUAUUUCGGUAUGUAAAGCUCUAUCAGCAGGGAAGAAAGGCUCGUAAGAGAGAUGACGGUACCUGACUAAGAAGCUCCGGCUAAAUACGUGCCAGCAGCCGCGGUAAUACGUAUGGAGCAAGCGUUAUCCGGAUUUACUGGGUGUAAAGGGAGCGCAGACGGUCAAGCAAGUCUGAAGUGAAACCCCACGGCUCAACCGUGGGCUUGCUUUGGAAACUGUUUAACUAGAGUACUGGAGAGGUAAGCGGAAUUCCUAGUGUAGCGGUGAAAUGCGUAGAUAUUAGGAGGAACACCGGUGGCGAAGGCGGCUUACUGGACAGCAACUGACGUUGAGGCUCGAAGGCGUGGGGAGCAAACAGGAUUAGAUACCCCUGGUAGUCCCACGCGGGUAAACGAUGAAUACUAAGGUGUUUGGGAGACAUAGUCUUUCAGUGCCGUCGCUAACGCAAUAAGUAUUCCACCUGGGGAGUACGUUCGCAAGAAUGAAACUCAAAGGAAUUGACGGGGACCCGCACAAGCGGUGGAGCAUGUGGUUUAAUUCGAAGCAACGCGAAGAACCUUACCAGAUCUUGAAUUCCAGAUGAAGUGACCGGGUAAUGCCGGUAGGCCUUCGGGACAUUUGAGACAGGUGGUGCAUGGUUGUCGUCAGCUCGUGUCGUGAGAUGUUGGGUUAAGUCCCGCAACGAGCGCAACCCUUGUCCAUAGUAGCCAGCAGUAAGAUGGGAACUCUAUGGAGACUGCCAGGGAUAACCUGGAGGAAGGUGGGGAUGACGUCAAAUCAUCAUGCCCCUUAUGAUCUGGGCCACACACGUGCUACAAUGUCGUAAACAAAGGGACGCGAACCCGCGAGGGGAAGCAAAUCUCAAAAAUAACGACCCAGUUCGGACUGUAGGCUGCAACCCGCCUGCACGAAGCUGGAAUCGCUAGUAAUCGCAGAUCAGAAUGCUGCGGUGAAUACGUUCCCGGGUCUUGUACACACCGCCCGUCACACCAUGGGAGUCGGAAAUGCCCGAAGCCAGUGACCCAACCGUAAGGAUGGGAGCUGUCGAAGGCAGUCUGAUACUGGG
rnacentral:rRNA from 1 species